AUUCCGAUACAUACCAAGAUUGAAGAUGAAAGCACCGCUUCCCGUCCGCUCAGCGAAGUUAAUAAGCAUGUUCGGGCCCAGCCAGUACCACGGUGGGGGACUACGUUGGAACCACGGGUUAUAAUU